UCCUACGGGAGGCAGCAGUAGGGAAUCUUCCACAAUGGACGAAAGUCUGAUGGAGCAACGCCGCGUGAGUGAAGAAGGGUUUCGGCUCGUAAAGCUCUGUUGGUAGUGAAGAAAGAUAGAGGUAGUAACUGGCCUUUAUUUGACGGUAAUUACUUAGAAAGUCACGGCUAACUACGUGCCAGCAGCCGCGGUAAUACGUAGGGAGCAAGCGUUAUCCGGAUUUAUUGGGUGUAAAGGGUGCGUAGACGGGCUAACAAGUUAGUUGCGAAAUCCCUCUGCUCACCUGAGGAACUGCAACUCAACCU
rnacentral:rRNA from 1 species